UACGUAGGGUGCGAGCGUUGUCCGGAAUUAUUGGGCGUAAAGAGCUCGUAGGCGGUGUGUCACGUCGGCCGUGAAAACCUGCAGCUUAACUGUGGGCGUGCGGUCGAUACGGGCAUCACUGGAGUUCGGCAGGGGAGACUGGAAUUCCUGGUGUAGCGGUGAAAUGCGCAGAUAUCAGGAGGAACACCGGUGGCGAAGGCGGUCUCUGGGCCGAUACUGACGCUGAGGAGCGAAAGCGUGGGGAGCGAACAGG
rnacentral:rRNA from 1 species